CUGGACCUCCACACUAUCUGUCUCAGUAGUUCCUAUCCCUUUCUUGCCAGAAGGAAGAUUUCUAGCAAACAUGUGUAUGCUUUGAAAACGUGACUCUGCUGUCCUGGAGGGGAUACUGGCAAGAGCACAAAACAGUGGCUCAUCACCUAGGCCCCCAGGAAAGAAAUCAUCAGAAGAAAUACUGUGCAUUCUGCUUUGCUUCAAGAGGAGUGAUUAACUUCAAAUAACACAAAGCAAGUCUCAAGGAAAAUAAUUUAAAAGGGCUAUUACAAUCUUAAAUAAAAUGAUUUAAUUAAAAACUCUAACCACAUGGAAAUUUUCAUCAGAUCACAUCAAGAUGGCUAAAGCAUUUAUCUCUAAAUCAGCUUUAACUAGCUCUAUAAGCAAUGUCUUCAAACUAAUGGUAUGAAAAAGACUUAUUUUGCUUUUUUAGGAAAAAGAAGUAUUUAACCAAAAGCCUGCUUCUGAUGAACAACUGGCAGCUACUAAAUAAGCAGUUUUAUUCUUGUUUUCAUUUCUGGUUGUGCCUUUCUAAAACAUCUGACUCUGACCAAUUAUAUUGCAAGAUCCAUUUGAAGAGUCAAAUGGAAAAGCAGUUUUAUGACUUUAGAACAGUUAAGUUCAAAAUUGAAAGUUCAGUUCUCUUCUCCUCUCCUAACUAUUUGUAUACAAGAAACUGAAUAAAAUCAAUUUCAAGGAGA